AGAGUUUGAUCCUGGCUCAGAUUGAACGCUGGCGGCAUGCCUUACACAUGCAAGUCGAACGGCAGCACGGGAGCAAUCCUGGUGGCGAGUGGCGAACGGGUGAGUAAUAUAUCGGAACGUGCCCAGACGUGGGGGAUAACGUAGCGAAAGCUACGCUAAUACCGCAUGUGAUCUGUGGAUGAAAGCGGGGGAUCGCAAGA
rnacentral:rRNA from 1 species